rnacentral:tRNA from 1 species
AUCUAAAUAGUUUAAUUGAAAAAUUUUAAUUUGUGGUGUUAAAGAUAUGUUUAGUCAUUUUAGAUA